UUGGAGGGCAAGUCUGGUGCCAGCAGCCGCGGUAAUUCCAGCUCCAAUAGCGUAUAUUAAAGUUGUUGCAGUUAAAAAGCUCGUAGUUGAAUUUCGGGAUCAAUACGUCGGUCGUGCUUCGGUACGUACUGGCGUAAUUGAUUUCUCCCUUCUGACGAACCAUGAUGUCAUUAACUUGGUGUCAUGGGAAAUCAGGACUGUUACUUUGAAAAAAUUAGAGUGUUUAAAGCAGGCUCACGCUUGAAUACAUUAGCAUGGAAUAAUGAAAUAGGACGUUCGAUCCUAUUUUGUUGGUUUUUAGGAUCAGCGUAAUGAUUAAUAGGGAUAGUUGGGGGCAUUAGUAUUCAAUUGUCAGAGGUGAAAUUCUUGGAUUUAUUGAAGACUAACUACUGCGAAAGCAUUUGCCAAGGAUGUUUUCAUUAAUCAAGAACGAAAGUUAGGGGAUCGAAGACGAUCAGAUACCGUCGUAGUCUUAACCAUAAACUAUGCCGACUAGGGAUCGGAUGAUGUUAAUUUUUUAAUGACUCAUUCGGCGCCUUACGGGAAAC
rnacentral:rRNA from 1 species